AGAACAGGAUCAUAUUAACUGUCCCUGGGCAAAGAUCCAAUUUGCAGGCCAAUAUCUGAAACAGUGAUAGACCCAAUGUGUGGUCUGGAUCCAGAUCUGGAUUUCUUUCCAGGAGGGGUUUGCUGCUCUUCCCCACAGGCAUUGUGCACCUUUUUGUUACUUGGGUUCUUUUUUCAUAAUCACAUUCCACAAAGAGAUGGCAAAAGAGGCACCAGCCUGACAGCCCUAGAGAGUGAGAGCUUCUUUAAGCCUCAGGCCUGCUCAGGAGGGGCCUGCUCUGUGGAGGCAAGGGCUGUGUAUGUUCAAUCACAAUGUUAAAGGAGACUGGGUGCUGGUCUACAUCUGAGUCUUAAGUUGACCAAGCUACAUAACUCAGGGGUGUGAACCCCCCCCCCACAUAGUUAAGCCAAUCUAAUUCGCAAUGGAGGGAGCACUGGGUUGAUGGAAGAAGCUGCCAUCUCUCAUGGAGGUGGAUUUACUACCAUGAUAGAAGUAAGCUGCAGUAAGUAUCUUCGCUCCAGCCCUGCAGCUGUGCUCCUGUGGUCUUUCUAGUGUAGACAUACCCACCAGCUCAAUUGACACAAACAACUUUGAGGUGGUAACUGCUUCAGUCAACUUCCAGCUUGGAGUGAGGGACAUAGACGUGAAAGGCCCUGUAGCCCAUUUUUACUAACCUUCUGAGCCAUCCAGUCCCCCUUUCCUUUUAUUUUAUUUUUGGCAGCCUCUAAUGACAUUCAGGUAUCCAAAGAAUUGUAUGCCAGAGGUGACGGGGGAACUUUCCUGUGAUCUCUUCUCUGGAAGAAGAUUUGGAGCAUUUUAAUAAAGUGGAUUAAGGACUCGGACACAAAAGCAACCUGUUUCCCUCUGACGGAAGCUUUAAUCUUCUCUCUGGGCUACUGACAAAGACUUUUCUUAAAGAAAACUUGGGAGCACAAAAGGAAAAAUAAAAGAAAGAGGGCCAGUUUUCCUCUUUCCUUGCCAAUUUCAGAUCAAUGGCAGAGGCUGGUGAGCUGGGAUGAGGAAGGAAAAGACUUUGAUUAGAAAAUCUUAGUGGUAAAAGAGAUAUUGAACAAACUGCUCAGUCGAUGCGCCACUCAAUGACAACAAUUAAAAGUAAUACCAGCAGGAAAAGAACUACAUGAUUGAAACCCGUGGAAUCUGCCAACCCUGCAUGUGGG